rnacentral:lncRNA from 1 species
CGACGUUAAUUGAAUGAUAAAUAUUUGGAUUUUUUUCUCUCUUAGAAAAGUGAAAGUGGAGUUGAGGUGGAUUUGUUUUAGAGUUGAUGUACUUAUGGGAAGAGGAGUUUGAAUAAGCGUGCAAUGAUAGAAUUAAGAUCGGAAUGCUUAUAAUCAAUUUUGUUUUUAGGUGUGUGUAUCUGGCCUUUGCUGCAACACUUUUUUCCUGUUGAUAAUCCUUUGACAUUUCUUGGCUGUGGACACAUUGAGGUUAUGUGUUGUGAUUGGUUUCUGUCAGUACCUUUGGCAAGUUCUUCAAAUAUUUUUGUUACUGUAGACAUCAUCAAUCGGAAAUUCAGAAUUAGUAUUAUAACAUAUAAUUCCAUCUCAACAAACUUUAUGAACCGUGAAGCAUACUGGAACUUAGUUGCAUAAGCUUAAAAGUGAGCUAAACAGAUAAAAAAAUAAAAUCAGUUCGAUUGACCAAAUGAUUUUGAAAAAAAAAAAAAAAAAACCUAAUUAGACCCCAGUUAAGUCCACUUUCAGUCGUAAGACCUAAUAUAUCAUUAUAAUUCCAAGUUUCAACUAAACAUGUUCGCAGACUCCGUGGCGAGUAUAUUAAAGCUUGUGCAUGUUAUGUGCUUGAUUACA